rnacentral:rRNA from 1 species
UGAGGAAUAUUGCGCAAUGGACGAAAGUCUGACGCAGCCAUGCCGCGUGCAGGAUGACGGCCCUAUGGGUUGUAAACUGCUUUUGUAUAGGAAGAAACUCGAAUACGUGUAUUUGAUUGACGGUACUAUAUGAAUAAGCAUCGGCUAACUCCGUGCCAGCAGCCGCGGUAAUACGGAGGAUGCAAGCGUUAUCCGGAUUUAUUGGGUUUAAAGGGUGCGUAGGCGGAAUAUUAAGUCAGUGGUGAAAUCCUGCAGCUUAACUGUAGUACUGCCAUUGAUACUAAGAUUCUUGAGUACGGUUGAGGUAGGCGGAAUGUGUAAUGUAGCGGUGAAAUGCUUAGAUAUUACACAGAACACCGAUUGCGUAGGCAGCUUACUAAGCCGCAACUGACGCUGAGGCACGAAAGCGUGGGGAUCGAACAG